GACGAACGCUGGCGGCGUGCUUAACACAUGCAAGUCGAACGGAAAGGCCCUGCUUUUGUGGGGUGCUCGAGUGGCGAACGGGUGAGUAACACGUGAGUAACCUGCCCUUGACUUUGGGAUAACUUCAGGAAACUGGGGCUAAUACCGUAUAGGAGCUCCUGCUGCAUGGUGGGGGUUGGAAAGUUUCGGCGGUUGGGGUUGGACUCGCGGCUUACCAGCUUGUUGGUGGGGUAGUGGCUUACCAAGGCUUUGACGGGUAGCCGGCCUGAGAGGGUGACCGGCCACAUUGGGACUAAGAUACGGACCAGACUCCUACGGGAGGCAGCAGUGGGGAAUAUUGCACAAUGGGCGGAAGCCUGAUGCAGCAACGCCGCGUGCGGGAUGACGGCCUUCGGGUUAUAAACCGCUUUCGCCUGUGACGAAGCGUGAGUGACGGUAAUGGGUAAAGAAGCACCGGCUAACUACGUG
rnacentral:rRNA from 1 species